UACGUAGGGGGCAAGCGUUUGUCCGGAAUUAUUGGGCGUAAAGAGCGCGUAGGCGGUCCGAUAAGUCGGCUGUGAAAGUCAGGGGCUCAACCCUUGGAAGCCGGCCGAUACUGUCGGACUAGAGUCCGGAAGAGGCGAGUGGAAUUCCCGGUGUAGCGGUGAAAUGCGCAGAUAUCGGGAGGAACACCAAUGGCGAAGGCAGCUCGCUGGGACGGUACUGACGCUGAGGCGCGAAAGCGUGGGGAGCAAACAGG
rnacentral:rRNA from 1 species